UACGUAGGGGGCAAGCGUUGUCCGGACUUAUUGGGCGUAAAGAGCGUGUAGGCGGUUAGGUAGGUCCGUUGUGAAAACUCGAGGCUCAACCUCGAGACGCCGAUGGAAACCAUCUGACUAGAGUCCGGAAGAGGAGAGUGGAAUUCCUGGUGUAGCGGUGAAAUGCGCAGAUAUCAGGAAGAACACCCGUGGCUAAGGCGGCUCUCUAGUACGUGACUGACGCUGAGACGCGAAAGCGUGGGGAGCGAACAGG
rnacentral:rRNA from 1 species